CCUACGGGAGGCAGCAGUGGGGAAUAUUGGGCAAUGGGCGCAAGCCUGACCCAGCAACGCCGCGUGAAGGAAGAAGGCUUUCGGGUUGUAAACUUCUUUUCUCAGGGACGAAGCAAGUGACGGUACCUGAGGAAUAAGCCACGGCUAACUACGUGCCAGCAGCCGCGGUAAUACGUAGGUGGCAAGCGUUAACCGGAUUUACUGGGUGUAAAGGGCGUGUAGGCGGGGACGCAAGGCAGAUGUGAAAACCACGGGCUCAACCUGUGGCGUGCAUUUGAAACGGUGUUUCUUGAGUACUCGAGAGGCAGACGGAAUGCGUAGUGUAGCGGUGAAAUGCGUAGAUAUUAGGAGGAACACCAGUGGCGAAGGCAGUCUGCGGGACAGCAACUGACGCUGAGGCGCGAAAGCGUGGGGAGCAAACAGGAUUAGAUACCCCUGUAGUC
rnacentral:rRNA from 1 species